rnacentral:rRNA from 1 species
UGGGGGAUAUUGCACAAUGGGCGAAAGCCUGAUGCAGCGACGCCGCGUGGGGGAUGAAGGCCUUCGGGUUGUAAACUUCUUUUGCUCUGAACAAGGCGCACCAUGGGGUGUGUUGAGUGUAGGGGUUGAUUAGCGCCGGCUAACUACGUGCCAGCAGCCGCGGUAAUACGUAGGGCGCGAGCGUUGUCCGGAAUUAUUGGGCGUAAAGGGCUUGUAGGUGGCUGGUUGCGUCUGUCGUGAAAGCUCAUGGCUUAACUGUGGGUUUGCGGUGGGUACGGGCUGGCUUGAGUGCAGUAGGGGAGGCUGGAAUUCCUGGUGUAGCGGUGGAUUGCGCAGAUAUCAGGAGGAAUACCGGUGGCGAAGGCGGGUCUCUGGGCUGUUACUGACACUGAGGAGCGAAAGCAUGGGGAGCGAACAGG